GGUAAAAUGGCUGAUUAAAGCGGUAAAUUGUAAAUUUAUAUAUGGAGAAAACUUCUUUUACCA
rnacentral:tRNA from 1 species